rnacentral:tRNA from 1 species
UCCCUGGUGGUCCAGUGGCUAAGACUCCAUGCUCGCAACGCAGGGAGCCUGGGUUCAAUCCCUGGCUGGGGAA